rnacentral:rRNA from 1 species
ACUCCUACGGGAGGCAGCAGUGGGGAAUAUUGCACAAUGGGCGCAAGCCUGAUGCAGCAACGCCGCGUGAGGGACGACGGCCUUCGGGUUGUAAACCUCUUUUAGUAGGGAAGAAGCGAAAGUGACGGUACCUGCAGAAAAAGCACCGGCUAACUACGUGCCAGCAGCCGCGGUAAUACGUAGGGUGCAAGCGUUAUCCGGAAUUAUUGGGCGUAAAGAGCUCGUAGGCGGUUUGUCGCGUCUGCUGUGAAAACUGGAGGCUCAACCUCCAGCCUGCAGUGGGUACGGGCAGACUAGAGUGCGGUAGGGGAGAUUGGAAUUCCUGGUGUAGCGGUGGAAUGCGCAGAUAUCAGGAGGAACACCGAUGGCGAAGGCAGAUCUCUGGGCCGUAACUGACGCUGAGGAGCGAAAGCAUGGGGAGCGAACAGGAUUAGAUACCCUGGUAGUCCAUGCCGUAAACGUUGGGAACUAGAUGUAGGGACCAUUCCACGGUUUCUGUGUCGCAGCUAACGCAUUAAGUUCCCCGCCUGGGGAGUACGGCCGCAAGGCUAAAACUCAAAGGAAUUGACGGGGGCCCGCACAAGCGGCGGAGCAUGCGGAUUAAUUCGAUGCAACGCGAAGAACCUUACCAAGGCUUGACAUAUACCGGAAAAGUUCAGAGAUGUUCUCCCCGCAAGGUCGGUAUACAGGUGGUGCAUGGUUGUCGUCAGCUCGUGUCGUGAGAUGUUGGGUUAAGUCCCGCAACGAGCGCAACCCUCGUUCUAUGUUGCCAGCACGUAAUGGUGGGAACUCAUAGGAGACUGCCGGGGUCAACUCGGA